GAUGAACGCUGGCGGCGUGCCUAAUACAUGCAAGUCGAGCGAACAGACGAGGAGCUUGCUCCUCUGACGUUAGCGGCGGACGGGUGAGUAACACGUGGAUAACCUACCUAUAAGACUGGGAUAACUUCGGGAAACCGGAGCUAAUACCGGAUAAUAUAUUGAACCGCAUGGUUCAAUAGUGAAAGACGGUUUUGCUGUCACUUAUAGAUGGAUCCGCGCCGCAUUAGCUAGUUGGUAAGGUAACGGCUUACCAAGGCAACGAUGCGUAGCCGACCUGAGAGGGUAAUCGGCCACACUGGAACUGAGACACGGUCCAGACUCCUACGGGAGGCAGCAGUAGGGAAUCUUCCGCAAUGGGCGAAAGCUUGACGGAGCAACGCCGCGUGAGUGAUGAAGGUCUUCGGAUCGUAAAACUCUGUUAUUAGGGAAGAACAAAUGCGUAAGUAACUAUGCACGUCUUGACGGUACCUAAUCAGAAAGCCACGGCUAACUACGUG
rnacentral:rRNA from 1 species